GUUAGUCACAGAUGGUAUCGCCCCGGCCGCCGGUGGCCUCUGCCUAGCGGAGGACUCGGGCGCUCCGAGUGGCUGGGAGGUGGGGCGUCCUGGGGGCCGUGCCCCUGGGAGUGGGGAGCAGGCAGGGGAUAGACAGGCCUGGGACAUAAAGUGUUUUGAAACUAAUUCCAGGGGAGUCACAACAGUUUGACAAAUAAGAUGCUUUCUGGGAAAACUGCAUUCAGAAGAGGAAAAACUCGUCUCCUCCAAGUUCACCCCAAAUUGUGUGGAAGUAAGUUGGAUCCCCGUGGCUGCUUCGGAUUGGUCGAGAUGUAGUUACGCGGACCAAUAAAAAAAAGAAAGGAAAUGUGCUGGCCUAUAGGAAGAGAAAAGCAGAAUCGAACCUGGGACCCUUCAGUCCGCAUGCCGAGUCUCUAUCCACUGUGCCAAACCGGUCAGGGCAAGACUUUGGGAUUCCUGGAUCUGAAGAAAGCACGGGCACACCCAGCGACCCUGCCCCGGCGAGGCACAGUGGGGAAGCUUUGGAGUCUGUAUCUUGGGCAGCUGGGGAGGCGAGCGGCGGAGGCUGGAUGUGCUCCUGGCAGAGGUAGGCGGGCCGGCCCAAAUCCCCUCUCGCAGGAAGGGGCGGGCGGCAGCGAGCUGUGGGCGGGCCGCUCUGAGGCUCUAUAAAUGCAGGCGCUGGAGGCUGCUGGCCAAGCUGUAGGUAACCCCUGAGCUCAGGUGAGGCUUCUGGAGAGCGAAGGAGGAGGCUGGGCUGCCGGUGGGGUCCUAGGUGGAGGCUCCCGGGUUGACCACGGGGCGGUGGGCGCACCUUCUCCUGAGUCCUUUAGGUGGCGUCUCUCUCCAGAACUUGAUAAGUUUGAGGUGGUCCCAACUCAACUUGCUUAAACCCAAGCAUUGGCAUAACAGCAUCCCUCCUUCUGGGCCUCAGUUUCCCCCUGUGAAAUGAGGGCUUAGUCGUCCCGUAAAGUUGGCCACUUUGGUGCAUGGUGAGAGGGUGGCUGUGAGCUGGGGAGCAUGGGGAACAGUCAAACUCUUCGGUUUUGGGGGUCAGACUGGCUCCACUUUUAGGUGGCCAUGAGUCUUCACACUUGUUUCCACGUUUGCAAAAUGGGUCUUCGGUUCUGUCUGCCUACCAGGGGGAAUAAGGUGAUGCCCUCGGCGCAUUUAGCACAGCUCUAGGCACUUAGGGUCCCUCAG